AGAUGUGUAGUUCAAUGGUUAGAAUUUUGGUCUCCAAAACCAACGAUAUAGGUUCGAUUCCUAUUACCCCUG